rnacentral:rRNA from 1 species
UACAGAGGGUGCGAGCGUUAAUCGGAAUUACUGGGCGUAAAGCGUGCGUAGACGGUUAUUUAAGUCGGGUGUGAAAGCCCCGGGCUCAACCUGGGAAUUGCAUUCGAGACUGAAUAGCUAGGGUACGGUAGAGGGAAGUGGAAUUUCCGGUGUAGCGGUGAAAUGCGUAGAUAUCGGAAGGAACAUCAGUGGCGAAAGCGACUUCCUGGACCAAUACUGACGCUCAUGUGCGAAAGCGUGGGGAGCAAACAGGG